rnacentral:rRNA from 1 species
UGGGGAAUAUUGCGCAAUGGGCGAAAGCCUGACGCAGCAACGCCGCGUGGGGGAUGAAGGCCUUCGGGUUGUAAACCCCUUUCAGCAGGGAAGAAGCGAGAGUGACGGUACCUGCAGAAGAAGCACCGGCUAACUACGUGCCAGUAGCCGCGGUAAUACGUAGGGUGCAAGCGUUGUCCGGAAUUAUUGGGCGUAAAGAGCUCGUAGGCGGUCUGUCGCGUCUGCUGUGAAAGUUCGGGGCUCAACCCCGGAACUGCAGUGGGUACGGGCAGACUAGAGUGCGGUAGAGGAGACUGGAAUUCCUGGUGUAGCGGUGGAAUGCGCAGAUAUCAGGAGGAACACCAGUGGCGAAGGCGGGUCUCUGGGCCGCAACUGACGCUGAGGGACGAAAGCUAGGGGAGCGAAAGGGAUUAGAUACCCGCGUAGUCC